GAACUCGAGAUUAAAAUUAGACACAUUUCGCGUCAUUUACAUCCGAGGGAAUUCUUUUCCUUGAAAGCUUCAAAAGAGUAUAAAAGAAGUGGGAAUAGAUUCCUUUAGUACUUAUUGCACACUGAAGAAGAACGACCUAAGAAGACUCCUCAAAGAGAAUUCGUGCACAACCCAAAUCAAAUAAUGGCAUCAAGCAAAGCAUUAGUGGUUCUUCUCGCCAUAUUCGUGCUGUGUGGAGUCGUUUUCCAGUGUAGUGACGCCUUCCUUAGGAACGGACGAGAUGAAAUCAUGGCGAGAAAACGGGCAGAGUUGGGCUAUCCACCCUAUGAAGAAUACCAAUACGAUGAAGCGAAUAUGGCCAAGGCUAGACGAGAAGCAAAGAGAUCUAAGGAAUAGAUAACUGAAUGUGUCUCUUCAAUCAAGACGUAACCAUCAAAAUAAAAAAAACUCGCGUGUUUCAUCAGCAACGACAUGCAUUUUGUAGUUCCAAUGAUUCCAAUGUAUACGUGAAAAAUAGUUGUACAAAAAUAACAAGCAAUAAAGUGGAAAAAAUUCAGUA